rnacentral:misc_RNA from 1 species
GAAAUGCGAUAAGUAAUGUGAAUUGCAGAAUUCAGUGAAUCAUCGAAUCUUUGAACGCAUCUUGCGCUCCUUGGUAUUCCGAGGAGCAUGCCUGUUUGAGUGUCAUGUAACUUCUCUCAACUACAUCAAUGAUGUGGCUUGGAUGUGGGGGAUUUUCUUUGCGGGUUUUGAAUGAAGUCUGCUCCCCUGAAAUGCAUUAGUGGUAUCUGAGCUGCUAUAGGUGUGAUAAUUAUCUACGCCUUUGGUCAUGCUGGUUGUGCUGCUUCUAACAAAGUGGAAAAGACCACUGUUUGACAAAUUUGACCUCAAAUCAGGUAGGACUACCCGCUGAACUUAA